UAACAGGCUUUCGGUUAACAGGGUGUAA
rnacentral:sRNA from 1 species